UACGGGAGGCAGCAGUGGGGAAUAUUGCACAAUGGGCGCAAGCCUGAUGCAGCCAUGCCGCGUGUAUGAAGAAGGCCUUCGGGUUGUAAAGUACUUUCAGUCGUGAGGAAGGUGUUAAGGUUAAUAACCUUAGCAAUUGACGUUAGCGACAGAAGAAGCACCGGCUAACUCCGUGCCAGCAGCCGCGGUAAUACGGAGGGUGCGAGCGUUAAUCGGAAUUACUGGGCGUAAAGGGCACGCAGGCGGUUAAUUAAGUUGGAUGUGAAAUCCCCGGGCUUAACCUGGGAAUGGCAUUCAAGACUGGUUAGCUAGAGUCUUGUAGAGGGGGUAGAAUUCCAUGUGUAGCGGUGAAAUGCGUAGAGAUGUGGAGGAAUACCGGCGGCGAAGGCGGCCCCCUGGACAAAGACUGACGCUCAUGUGCGAAAGCGUGGGGAGCAAAC
rnacentral:rRNA from 1 species